CGGGACGGGUGAGUAACGCGUGAGCAACCUGCCUUCGAGAGGGGAAGUAGCACCUGGAAACGGGUGGUAAUACCGCAUAAGCCGGGAAUACCGCAUGGUAUAACUGGAAAAGGAGCAAUCCGCUUGAAGAUGGGCUCGCGCCCGAUUAGAUAGUUGGUGAGGUAACGGCUCACCAAGUCGACGAUCGGUAGCCGGACUGAGAGGUUGAACGGCCACAUUGGGACUGAGACACGGCCCAG
rnacentral:rRNA from 1 species